AGAGUUUGAUCCUGUGCUCAGGAUGAACGCUAGCGGCAGGCUUAACACAUGCAAGUCGAGGGGCAGCGGGGAGGAAGCUUGCUUUCUCCGCCGGCGACCGGCGCACGGGUGAGUAACACGUAUGCAACCUGCCCCUGUCAGGGGGACAACCCGCCGAAAGGCGGGCUAAACCCGCGUACAUGCCACCAGGGCAUCCCGGAGGCAGGAAAGGCUUCGGCCGGACAGGGAUGGGCAUGCGGCGCAUUAGGCAGUAGGCGGGGUAACGGCCCACCUAACCGACGAUGCGUAGGGGUUCUGAGAGGAAGGUCCCCCACACUGGUACUGAGACACGGACCAGACUCCUACGGGAGGCAGCAGUGAGGAAUAUUGGUCAAUGGGCGCGAGCCUGAACCAGCCAAGUCGCGUGAGGGAUGACGGCCCUACGGGUUGUAAACCUCUUUUGUCGGGGAGCAAAUUCCGCCACGCGUGGCGGAGUCGAGAGUACCCGAAGAAAAAGCAUCGGCUAACUCCGUGCCAGCAGCCGCGGUAAUACGGAGGAUGCGAGCGUUAUCCGGAUUUAUUGGGUUUAAAGGGUGCGUAGGCGGACUGUCAAGUCAGCGGUAAAAUACGGGGGCUCAACCUCCGCCCGCCGUUGAAACUGACGGUCUUGAGUGGGCGAGAAGUAUGCGGAAUGCGUGGUGUAGCGGUGAAAUGCAUAGAUAUCACGCAGAACUCCGAUUGCGAAGGCAGCAUACCGGCGCCCAACUGACGCUGAAGCACGAAAGCGUGGGUAUCGAACAGGAUUAGAUACCCUGGUAGUCCACGCAGUAAACGAUGAAUACUAGCUGUCCGGGGCGAAUGGGCCCUGGGUGGCACAGCGAAAGCGUUAAGUAUUCCACCUGGGGAGUACGCCGGCAACGGUGAAACUCAAAGGAAUUGACGGGGGCCCGCACAAGCGGAGGAACAUGUGGUUUAAUUCGAUGAUACGCGAGGAACCUUACCCGGGCUCAAACGACACAGGAACGGUCCUGAAAGGGGUCGGCUCUACGGAGCCUGUGUCGAGGUGCUGCAUGGUUGUCGUCAGCUCGUGCCGUGAGGUGUCGGCUUAAGUGCCAUAACGAGCGCAACCCCCAUCGACAGUUGCUAACAGGUUAGGCUGAGGACUCUGUCGAGACUGCCGGCGCAAGCUGCGAGGAAGGCGGGGAUGACGUCAAAUCAGCACGGCCCUUACGUCCGGGGCGACACACGUGUUACAAUGGCAGGUACAGCGGGAAGCCACCUGGCGACAGGGAGCGGAACCCGAAAGCCUGUCUCAGUUCGGACUGGAGUCUGCAACCCGACUCCAUGAAGCUGGAUUCGCUAGUAAUCGCGCAUCAGCCACGGCGCGGUGAAUACGAAGCCGGGCCUUGCACACACCGCCCGUCA
rnacentral:rRNA from 1 species